UACGUAGGUGGCAAGCGUUGUCCGGAUUUACUGGGCGUAAAGAGCGCGCAGGCGGCUGGCCAAGUCAGCUGUGAAAUCUCCCGGCUUAACUGGGAAACUGCAUCGGAAACUGACCGGCUUGAAGGUGGGAGAGGGUAGUGGAAUUCCCGGUGUAGUGGUGAAAUGCGUAGAUAUCGGGAGGAACACCAGUGGCGAAGGCGACUACCUGGCCCAUUCUUGACGCUGAGGCGCGAAAGCUAGGGGAGCGAACGGG
rnacentral:rRNA from 1 species